rnacentral:lncRNA from 1 species
GCUGAGUCGCCAAGACAAUAAAGGAGAUACUUGUCUCAAAAACAAAACAGAACAAAACACCUACCACCACAUCAAAUUUAGGUAUUAUGCUAACAAACACUAGUUAUGUACGUUAAGAUCUAGAGUUAGCCAGACUUGUUGAUGCAUGCCUUUAAUUCUAGCUCUUGAGAGGCAGAGGCAAGUGGAAUCUCUUGAGUUCGAGACCAGGUUGGUCUACAAAACGAGUUCUAGGACAGCCAGGGCUACACAGAUAAACCCUGCCUCAAAUUGUCAUCCCCACUCCCGAAGAAAGAUGUUAGAAUUAUUCUAUUGUAUAGGCAAGAAAAGACAAGUCUUAGUAGGAUUAUAUUUUUUGUAAGGUCACAUAGAAGGAACAAUGACUGUGUGUGAGUGUGUGCAUGCAUGUGUGGUUUUUUGAGACAGGGUUUCUCUGUAUGGUGCUUGCUGUCCUGGACCUCACUCCUUAGACCAGGCUGGCCUUAAACUCAUAGAUCAACUGUUUCUGCCUCCUAAGUGCUGGGAUUAAAGGCACGUGAUGCCAAACCUCUGACACUUUUAUUUUCAAGACUUCUCUUAACUCUUAUUAGUAACAUAAUAGGAUAAAAAAAAUGGGGGAAAAGCUAUGUCAUGCUAGCUGAGUAUCUGAAGUUUUGGGUAUGUAUCAUCCUUUAUUACAGAAGUGUCUUUCAUUUUCCUUCUCAGCAUGAGGUUAUUUCACAUUAUUCAUUUCCAGUUGGUGGAGGAGUUAACCCCACUACUUCCCACGGCUCUUGCACCAGGAUAGAAAUGGGGAAAUGCUAUGUCAUGCUGCCUGAGCAUCUGGCCUUUUAUGCAUUUAUCAAUUCUCUUGACAACAGUAGUUUUUUGUUGUUGUUGUUCAGUUACUUUUUGGUGUGUGUGUGUGUGUAUAUGAGCAUGAUAUAAAUGUGUAUGCUCAUGUGUAUAUAUAUUCAAGUGUGUUCUCAGAGUCAUGUACCUGUACACUUGAGCAGAGACCAGAGGCAGAUGUUGGUUGUGUCUCUAUAAAGAAGCAUGAACAUGAAGCAGAGCUGGUGGAGAUGCUCCUGUCUCGACCCACACAGCCCUGAGGUUUUAUAGCCAGCUAUGCAGCUACAGCCCUCUCUCCCGAUGUUGCUGGAAUCCAAAGCCAAGUCUUCAUAUUCAUCCAGCACUUGUACCCAUUGCACCUCUCUCGAGCCUUAUUGUUUCUUUUUCUCCUUUUUCCUUCCCACCCUGAGGGUAAAUGGUUGUCAUUAUUCAUUUCUUUCUUGUGAGAGCAAGGUGGGCCAGAGGACAGCUUUCAGACAUCAGUUUUCUCCUCCCACCCUGUGGUUCCUGGGGAUGGAACUCAGGUCAUCAGGCUUGGCCUCAAGCUCCUUCACCUGCUGAGCCAUUGUGCCUAGCCUUUGGUUUUGUAAACCAAGUCUGAGUCUCACUAUAUAGCCUAGGCUGGCUUGAACUCAGGACAGUCCCUGUGACUUAGCCUCCAAAAUGCUGAGAUUACUGCUAUGGAUUAUAAUGACAGAUUUCACACUUUUUCUUUUCUUUUCUUUUCUUUCUUUCUUUCUUUCUUUCUUUUUUUUUUUUUUUUUUUUUUUUUUUUGAUUUUUCGAGACAGGGUUUCUCUGUAUAGUCCUGGCUGUCCUGGAACUCACUUUGUAGACCAGGCUGGCCUUGAAUUCAGAAAUCCACCUGUCUCUGCCUCCCAAGUGCUGGGAUUAAAGGCAUACGCCACCACUGGCCCGGCCACACUUUUUCUAAUUAUAUAUAUAAACAGUAUAUAUAUAUAUAUAUAUAUAUAUAUAUAUAUAUAUAUACGUAUAUAUGUGUAUAUAUAUAUACAAAUAUAUAUAUACAUAUAUAUGUAUAUAUAUAUAUAUAUACACAUAUGUGUGUAUACACACACACACACAUAUAUACUGUAAACCCUUCCCCCUUUUUAAAAAAGGUUUACUUAUUUAUUAUUUAUAUAAGUACACUGUCGCUAUCUUCAGACACACUAGAAGAGGACAUUGCCUCCCCCCCCCAUUACAGAUGAUUGUGAGGCACCAUGUGGUUGCUGGGAUUUGAACUCAGGACCUCUGGAAGAGCAAUCACUGCUCUUAACCAUUGAGCCAUCACUUCAGAUCCCCUCCCCCCCUUUUAAAGAUUUAUUCAUUUUAUAUAUGUUAGUACACCGCUGCUCUCUUCAGACACACACCAGAAGAGGGCAUCAGAUCCAAUUACAGAUGGUUGUGAGCCACCAUGUGGUUGACUGGGAAUUGAACUCAGGAUAGAAGAUCAGUCAGUGUUCUU